CGUAGGUGGCAAGCGUUGUCCGGAAUUAUUGGGCGUAAAGCGCGCGCAGGCGGUUCUUUAAGUCUGAUGUGAAAGCCCCCGGCUCAACCGGGGUAGGUCAUUGGAAACUGGGGAACUUGAGUGCAGAAGAGAAGAGCGGAAUUCCACGUGUAGCGGUGAAAUGCGUAGAGAUGUGGAGGAACACCAGUGGCGAAGGCGGCUCUUUGGUCUGUAACUGACGCUGAGGCGCGAAAGCGUGGGGAGCAAACAGGAUUAGAUACCCUGGUAGUCCACGCCGUAAACGAUGAGUGCUAAGUGUUAGAGGGUUUCCGCCCUUUAGUGCUGCAGCUAACGCAUUAAGCACUCCGCCUGGGGAUACGGCCGCAAGGCUG
rnacentral:rRNA from 1 species